rnacentral:lncRNA from 1 species
AGGGUUUAGGGUUGAGGGUUAAGAGGUGAGGGUUAAGGGUUGAGGGUUAAGAAAUUUCUGAAAUUAUGUAUUUGCUUUCCUUUUAAUUAACUUUUGUUUAACUAUGUUCGUGUCACGGCAAAAAAUUAUGUAAUUGUUAUCUGAUUAGUGUUUUAAAAAAUAAACAACAAAUAAACAAACUGAUUUGUAGCCAAACAACAGUUUAUAUACAACAAACAUUAUAUAAUAUUCUGAGACAUUGAAAUUUAUAAACAACAAACAACUGAUUUGUAGCCAAACAACUGAUUUAUAUACAACUGAUUUGUAACCAAACAAUUAGGAUCAUGCGUCCAUUUCAAUCAAACAUUAUAGAUAGACAAGAUUUUGUUAUCUCAACCCUGUGUUUUAAAUUAAUCAAAGGAAUAAAACCGGAAAUGUGAUAAGUUAAAUAAACAACAAAUAGUAAUAAAACCAGAAAUGUGAUAUGUAAACAAUUGUAAAUAGUUAAUUAUUAGUCCGAUUCUGCACUAGACUCAGAACGUGACUUGUGAUUAUUCUGAAAGUAUUCUUGAUAGUCCUUAAGAUCUACCUCACUGUCGGACGCCUCCUCACUCCCUUCUUCCAGCGUAUUUGGUGUACACGACCCGCCAG